rnacentral:rRNA from 1 species
GCCGCAUCUCCUUCGAGAACCUCGACGAGGUCCUCAAGAACAGCGAGAUCAAGCAGCUCAACCUCAUCAUCAAGGGUGACGCCUCCGGUUCCGUCGAAGCCCUGGAGUCCUCGCUGCUCCAGCUCGACGUGGGCGAAGAGGUCGACAUCCGGGUGCUGCACCGCGGUGUGGGUGCGGUCACCGAGUCGGACAUCGACCUGGCGAUGGGCUCCGACGCCAUCGUCAUCGGCUUCAACGUCCGCGCGGCCGGCCGUGCCGCGCAGAUGGCGGAGCGCGAGGGCGUCGACGUCCGGUACUACUCGGUGAUCUACCAGGCCAUCGAGGAGAUCGAGGCGGCCCUCAAGGGCAUGCUCAAGCCCGAGUACGAAGAGGUCGAGCUCGGUACGGCGGAGAUCCGCGAGGUCUUCCGCUCCUCCAAGCUGGGCAACAUCGCGGGUGUCCUCGUCCGCUCCGGCGAGGUCCGGCGCAACACCAAGGCGCGCCUGGUCCGCGACGGCAAGGUCGUGGCGGAGAACCUCAACAUCGAGGGUCUGCGCCGCUUCAAGGACGACGUCACCGAGAUCCGCGAAGGCUACGAGGGCGGUAUCAACCUCGGAAACUUCAACGACAUCAAGAUCGACGACGUCAUCGCGACGUACGAGAUGCGCGAGAAGCCGCGCGCCUGACGCGAGGCUGCGUGAUCGGGGCCGGUCGGCGGGGGAAAUCCCGUCGAUCGGCCCCGGCCGUUGCGUGUACGGUUCAGCUGGCUCCGCCCGCCGCGGCGGGGCCCUGACCGUGCCGCCCGCCGGACCACGUCCGGCGGCCGGGGCACCACGAACCCGUACCGGCGGGACAUCCGGACACACAUGUAUGUGGGGACGCUCUCCUUCGACCUGCUCCUGGGCGACGUACGGUCGCUGAAGGAGAAACGCUCAGCCGUCCGCCCGAUCGUCGCCGAACUCCAGCGGAAGUUCUCGGUGAGCGCGGCGGAGGUCGGCGACCAGGAUCUGUACCGCAGGUGCGAGAUCGGGGUCGCCAUGGUGUCGGGGGACCCCGGGCACCUCUCGGACGUGCUGGACCGGUGCGAGCGGCUGGUGGCCGCCCGGCCCGAGGUGGAGCUGCUGUCCGUACGGCGGCGGUUCCACGGCGAGGAUGACUGAACAACCGGGACACCGCACGGUGCCCCGUCGCACAUCAAGAAGGGAACGGACCGGUGGCCGACAACGCGCGGGCCCGCAAACUGGCCGAUCGCAUCCAGGUCGUCGUGGCGGAGACCCUGGACCGACGCAUCAAGGACCCACGGCUGGGCUUCGUCACGAUCACGGACGCCCGUGUCACCGGCGACCUGCGGGAGGCCACGGUCUUCUACACGGUCUACGGUGACGACGAGGAGCGCGCCGCCUCCGCGGCCGCCCUGGAGAGCGCCAAGGGCGUGCUGCGCUCCGAGGUGGGGCGGCAGACGGGGGUGCGUUUCACGCCCACCCUCGCCUUCGUCCCCGACGCCCUGCCCGACAACGCCCGCACCAUCGACGACCUGCUCGACAAGGCGCGGAACA